AUACGUAGGGUGCAAGCGUUAAUCGGAAUUACUGGGCGUAAAGCGUGCGCAGGCGGUUUUGUAAGACAGAGGUGAAAUCCCCGGGCUCAACCUGGGAACUGCCUUUGUGACUGCAAGGCUAGAGUACGGCAGAGGGGGAUGGAAUUCCGCGUGUAGCAGUGAAAUGCGUAGAUAUGCGGAGGAACACCGAUGGCGAAGGCAAUCCCCUGGGCCUGUACUGACGCUCAUGCACGAAAGCGUGGGGAGCAAACAGGAUUAGAUACCCUGGUAGUCCACGCCCUAAACGAUGUCAACUGGUUGUUGGGUCUUCAUUGACUCAGUAACGAAGCUAACGCGUGAAGUGGACCGCCUGGGGAGUACGGCCGCAAGGUUGAAACUUAAAGGAAUUGACGGGG
rnacentral:rRNA from 1 species